rnacentral:rRNA from 1 species
GACGAACGCUGGCGGCGUGCUUAACACAUGCAAGUCGAGCGGUAAGGCCCUUUCGGGGGUACGACGAGCGGCGAACGGGUGAGUAACACGUGGGUGACCUGCCCUCAGCUCUGGGAUAAGCCUGGGAAACCGGGUCUAAUACCGGAUAUGACUCCAUGACGCAUGUUGUGGGGUGGAAAGCCUUGUGCGGCUGAGGAUGGGCCCGCGGCCUAUCAGCUUGUUGGUGGGGUGGAUGGCCUACCAAGGCGACGACGGGUAGCCGGCCUGAGAGGGCGACCGGCCACACUGGGACUGAGACACGGCCCAGACUCCUACGGGAGGCAGCAGUGGGGAAUCUUGCGCAAUGGGCGAAAGCCUGACGCAGCGACGCCGCGUGAGGGAUGACGGCCU